CAUUAAGACGCAUCAUUGUAAUUUCUAGUUGAAGUGAUCAGCCUCUUAAAUCAGAUGAUUUUCUCACUUCUCUUCUCCUUGUUCUGCCUUCUAUUCUAUCUAUAGAAACCAGAAGGCUCUCUUUCACAUACUAUUCUUAUCAUGCAAUUUCUCUUCUCAAACAUUCUGAUAUUUCCUUUCACACUCAAAACAAAACAAAAUCUGCACCUCACCUGGUCUGAUCCCUGAAGACCACUGUACAUUUUCCUCCUUCCAUCAUUUCCUUUUGUAGCGAUACUCCAACCACAAGGACUUUUCUGCUCACCCUCUAAAAUGCCAGUUUGGUUCCUACCUUAAGGUCUUUUCCUUUGCUCUUCUCUCUCUCUCUACCACCCAGAUCUCUGUGUUCUUAUUUCACUCUUCUCUGUCUUCAAUGUAUUCAUAGAGGCUGCUUGGGAUACCGUUUCUUUUUAAAAUUUACCCUUUUUAGUUAUAUACAACACAAGGUUAUACCCUGCCAUUAUCACAAAAGCAUGGAACACAACCUGCUCCAAUUAAGUCCCAGCACUACCCCACCACCCCCACACCACUGCUAGCUCCUUCUACUUCAGAAUACCAUUUCUAAAAAUAUAUGAAAUCACUCCCAAUUCACCUCACUCUAGUAUCUCAUCUUGCUUAAUUUUUCUUUAUAGCAAUUAACAUUAUGCAUCUGUUUAUAGUUUAUUGUCAUUGUCUCUAUUGUUGAAGUUCUGUGAGGGUUGAGAUUUUGUUUUGUUCACCACUUUAUUUUUAAAACUUAAAACAUUUCCUGGUAAAUAGCACAUUAUCAGGAAUAACUGCCAGUGUACUAGUGAGUAAAAUCAGUGUUAUGGUUUGAAUUAAGAGUCCCCCCAAAGCUCCUGUUUAAUGUAGGAAUAUUCAUCUUUCAGAUGAUUAGAUUAUGAGAGCUGAAACUAAUAAGUUCAUCCUACUUUGAAGGGACUGACUGACUGGUGGUAAUUGCAGGCAGGUGAUGCAUAGCUGGAAGAGGUAGAUAACUAAGUGCUUUCCUAGGAAGCAUGCAUCUUCCCUGUGACCCCUUCUCACUCCUGCUACUUCCUGACUUCACUAUGAUCUGAGUACAGGGACCUUCUCCCAUGAUGUGCUCCCUUACCUUGGGCCCAGAGCAAGA
rnacentral:lncRNA from 1 species